CGCUGGCGGCAUGCUUUACACACGCAAGUCGAACGGCAGCGCGGGCUUCGGCCUGGCGGCGAGUGGCGAACGGGUGAGUAAUAUAUCGGAACGUACCCAAGGGUGGGGGAUAACGUAGCGAAAGUUACGCUAAUACCGCAUACGAUCUAAGGAUGAAAGCAGGGGAUCGCAAGACCUUGUGCUCCUGGAGCGGCCGAUAUCUGAUUAGCUAGUUGGUGGGGUAAAGGCCCACCAAGGCAACGAUCAGUAGCUGGUCUGAGAGGACGACCAGCCACACUGGAACUGAGACACGGUCCAGACUCCUACGGGAGGCAGCAGUGGGGAAUUUUGGACAAUGGGGGCAACCCUGAUCCAGCAAUGCCGCGUGAGUGAAGAAGGCCUUCGGGUUGUAAAGCUCUUUUGUCAGGGAAGAAAAGGCUGUGGCUAAUAUCCACAGCUGCUGACGGUACCUGAAGAAUAAGCACCGGCU
rnacentral:rRNA from 1 species